GAUUGAACGCUGGCGGCAGGCCUAACACAUGCAAGUCGAACGGUAACAGGAAGCAGCUUGCUGCUUUGCUGACGAGUGGCGGACGGGUGAGUAAUGUCUGGGAAACUGCCUGAUGGAGGGGGAUAACUACUGGAAACGGUGGCUAAUACCGCAUAAYGUCGCAAGACCAAAGAGGGGGACCUUCGGGCCUCUUGCCAUCAGAUGUGCCCAGAUGGGAUUAGCUUGUUGGUGAGGUAACGGCUCACCAAGGCGACGAUCCCUAGCUGGUCUGAGAGGAUGACCAGCCACACUGGAACUGAGACACGGUCCAGACUCCUACGGGAGGCAGCAGUGGGGAAUAUUGCACAAUGGGCGCAAGCCUGAUGCAGCCAUGCCGCGUGUAUGAAGAAGGCCUUCGGGUUGUAAAGUACUUUCAGCGGGGAGGAAGGUGUUGUGGUUAAUAACCRCAGCAAUUGACGUUACCCGCAGAAGAAGCACCGGCUAACUCCG
rnacentral:rRNA from 4 species